rnacentral:lncRNA from 1 species
UAUCACGCUACAUACAACCAACAGGUAUGUACAGGACCGGCCUUCCCAUUACCCCGUCAUACACAGUGUAUCACGCUACAUACAACCAACAGGUAUGUACAGGACCGGCCUUCCCAUUACCCCGUCAUACACAGUGUAUCACGCUACAUACGACCAACAGGUAUGUACAGGACCGGCCUUCCCAUUACCCCGUCAUACACAGUGUAUCACGCUACAUACAACCAACAGGUAUGUACAGGACCGGCCUUCCCAUUACCCCGUCACACACAGUGUAUCACGCUACAUACAACCAACAGGUAUGUACAGGACCGGCCUUCCCAUUACCCCGUCAUAUACAGUGUAUCACGCUACAUACAACCAACAGGUAUGUACAGGACCGGCCUUCCCAUUACCCCGUCAUACACAGUGUAUCACACUACAUACAACCAACAGGUAUGUACAGGACCGGCCUUCCCAUUACCCCGUCAUAUACAGUGUAUCACGCUACAUACAACCAACAGGUAUGUACAGGACCGGCCUUCCCAUUACCCCGUCAUAUACAGUGUAUCACGCUACAUACAACCAACAGGUAUGUACAGGA